ensembl:lncRNA
AGAUAGCAGGGGUUAUAGCAAGUGGGGAGGGCAGCUAACAGGAGUGGGGAUAGAAGACUAGAGAAGCCACCACCAGGGCCUUCCUGAAUAUUGCUUCUGAGCUUUGUGACAGGGAAAGGGUAACUGCUUCUUUUCCACUUCCCUUCGAAUUUCAGUAGGAGAACUUAAAGUUGGACAAGAGAAAGGAUUGUAUAAAUUCCUAAAGCAAAAUGCACCACUGCAUCAUUUCUGUGCCCUAACACAGGUUUGGCCCAUGAGGAGGGUGCUUGGCUUUAAGGCAGAAAGAUGCACAGGGAUAGAUAGGGCUCAUCUUCAGCCCCUGGGGUAGAGUGGGAGUGGGGGUGGUUGGUGUUCUUAAGUUUUGCUCUCGGCGUCUCUGGCUCAGGCUUCUGUCAGUACAGACCUGCAUCCCGGCCCCGCCCCAACUGCUGAUUAUACCCCUUGGGAUGCAUCAUUGCUAGGAAAGCAGAUGUGCCAGAUGUGACAUGUUUGAAAGAAGAAAAAAUCCCUUACCUCUGAGCCUUGGGGAGAGCUGCUAAUCACCGUCUUGCUGCUGCUCAUGGAGAGGGCGGGGCUCAGGAAUUGAGCUCAGAACUUGCAGUAUGUCUUGUCCUUUGCCUGAGGGGAGCCUCCUGAGCCUUGCUGACAGAUGUCUCAGUCUGGGAAGCUCCAGCAUGCUUUGCUUAGUGUCUCUCCGCCAAGACGGCGCCCGAGAUUAUAACUCUUCUAAUCUGAGCGCAAAGAAAGUGGACCCACCACUAAGACAUCUAGGCUAACCCUAGGACCUUAAUGCAUAUUUCGCAAGACUCAAGCAAAGCAAGAGGAAAGACUUGGCACUUUGUCAUUAGUUGCAAAGAGAUCAUGGAGAGACUAAAUUACUGAAAAUGCAGAGUCUAGAAGCUUCCAAACGUGAGGUGACCUCGUCCAGCUCCCUGAGCGUCAUCCCCCUCAGGGACGCAGAGUUGCUCCACUUUGCCCUAUGCCCUCUCAUGACAGGGCUCAUGCUCUACCACACCUCCCUUCCACUGUAGCUAUUGCCCAAAUCCAGAUAGGCAUCCAGGGUGGCUGGAUAGAGAUCUUUAUGGGAGUAAACCUGUGCCUGUGGAUGAAAUAACAACCGGAAACACCUGGAGCUUUUUCCUGAACCUGGUACCUCUCCCCGGCUAACUUGAGUCAUGAUGUGUCACUUUUCUGUCUAUCUGACCCUUACUCUUGGGAAGGGAGAGAAGGAGCAGGACACUAAUGACUGUUUCCUGAUGUUAAAGCAUGAUUAGGACCAUUAUUGUUUAGUCCUUGGGGAAGCCAGACAACCAUCAGCCUGACUCUAAAGACAUGUAGUUCAAGACAGUUGCUAUCCUCAGGGCUCAUGGAAGCUCCGCUCCUCCCCCCCUCUAUCCUUAGCCCACAACUGCCAAUCCUGCUGUAACCACUGUAGAUAGGACUUGGGGGAAGGGGGGGGGUGUGCCUGGUUCUUUGGUGUAUUCCCUCUAGGCCUCAUUUUCAUGCCUGGAGCAGAAUUUACACUCCUCUCCCAUUGCACAUUUAGCUCUUGUCCCAGCCUCCUCCACAGGGUUUGGAGGCUAAAAGUCCUCUAAAACUAACUAGGAAGUGACAGUGGUAGGUAUUAACAUACAGUUCUUUAUGAAAGACCGCAAAAGCUCCAUUCUUUGAAUGACACACAAAACUCACUUUAACCAAGCCUGACUCCCAGGUGCAACCCACUUGGAAAAGACCAGCAUUCCAGUUUGUUGAGGAUUUCAAAUAUGUAAUAUGAUUUAGAAAAAAGUCAAAAUAU